rnacentral:lncRNA from 1 species
GGAGAGAUCAACAUUUGUGGCAACUUGGAGAACUUCCUCCUAUUCUUUAGGGCUGAUCUCACAGCAAACUAUAGAACCAUCAGUCACACAACUUAGUACUUUUUUUUGAGACAGAGUCUUGCUCCAUUGCCUAGGCUGGAGUGCAGUGGUGUGAUCAUGGCUGACUGCAAGCUCCACCUCCUGGGUUCACGCCAUUCUCCUGCCUCAGCCUCCCGAGUAGCUGGGAUUACAAGUGCCCGACACCACGCCCAGCCAAUUUUUUGUAUUUUUAGUAGAGAUAGGGUUUCACCAUGUUAGCCAGGAUGGUCUCGAUCUCCUGACCUCAUGAUCCACCUGUCUCGGCCUCCCAAAGUGCUGGGAUUACAGGUGUGAGCCACCACGCCUGGCCAGCUCAAGCUCUUCCUCACAUGAUAGAGAACUACUUUGAGGAGGCUGUGGGAAUCACAUGUCUGUUGCUAACUUGAGUUC